rnacentral:ncRNA from 10 species
AUCGUUCAUCUGUUUAGACAGAUCGGAAGUAGGAUAAUACCGAAGGAACGCGGA